UACGAAGGGGGCUAGCGUUGCUCGGAAUCACUGGGCGUAAAGCGCACGUAGGCGGAUCGUUAAGUCAGGGGUGAAAUCCUGGAGCUCAACUCCAGAACUGCCUUUGAUACUGGCGAUCUUGAGUUCGAGAGAGGUGAGUGGAACUGCGAGUGUAGAGGUGAAAUUCGUAGAUAUUCGCAAGAACACCAGUGGCGAAGGCGGCUCACUGGCGUCGAUACUGACGCUGAGGCACGAAAGCGUGGGGAGCAAACAGG
rnacentral:rRNA from 1 species